UGAAGCUAAGCGCAAUGAAUUAUCCCUGAAAACAAGACUCUAGUUCACAGAGGGGGAAAGGCAACCCCAGAGGCGAGCUGCUUUCUUGUCCAGCGUCCCACUAUAGACGCUCACAGCGCAAACAAACAGUUAAGAAAAUACAUGCUACGCCUUUGAACUCCUUGAUUCUUGUUGCUGCAAAAUAACACAUUGACAUUUGCAAAUCUACUUAAUGUGCCCGAAGAGUCAGGCAGGCAGGGGCAUGAAGAGCAGGAACGAGUCCAGCUCACCGUCUGAUAUGUGCACGGCUUGGGAUGGAUCCAACCACAGUCUACCCGACAGCUUGUGAAACCCAGCUCAGCAGUAAGCAACGCGCUCUCCCAAAUGCCAGUUUUGAUGUCCCUGUUCCAUUUGUGAGUGUGCUGGAAACUUGGGGCAGAUCCCUGGGUUUUGCUUAACAACAAUACGGAUCCUAAAUGAUUUUAGAAAGAACGACAGUGGCUCAUGCCGAAGACAGUAGCUUGUUUGCCAAACAAUGCCAAUGUGAAAAUGAGAAAGAUGACUGCUUCUGUUCGGCCCACACCCAAGGGAGGUGACUGUUCCUGCUCGGGUUUUCUUUUGUUGCUAUGGAAAACUUUCGUGAAAAUGAGAUCGCUACAACUCUACCGCAGUCCAAAGGAGCAGAUCUCAACUGUCCGUAUUCCAGCUGACAUAUCAUUUCUGAUGCCCCUAUUCUCACAGCUACUGAAAUAAAAGAGAUCAGAGAAGGAAUAAAUCCUUUAAAACCAAUG